rnacentral:lncRNA from 1 species
UUUGUGUCCCCUGUCGACGUCUACGUCCCUAGCCUACUUCUGCCUACACAGUCUGUCUAUUUUGCUAUUGCGUCCCCUGCCACAAUGUCUGCAGUUUGCCUGAGUCUUGGUUCUACUUAUGUCCUCCUGCUGCAGUGCCUAUCUUGGUUUUGCCUGCGUCCCUUGUCGUAGUGCCUGCAUUGGUUCUGCUUGCAUCCCUUAACUCCAGGUUUGGCCUACGUCCCUUGCCCCAAUACUUAUGUUUUUCCUACUUGCGUCCUCUUACCACAGGUGCUUCCAUCUAGUUAUAGCGCACUGCCUGGGUUACUCGAUUUUCCCAAUUGCAACCUGGACAUAUCGACUGUGACCAUUCUCUCCCACCAAAUUUGGCGGCGCCGUCAUCGCCAUGUACUGUCAAAGCUGGGGCCUAAUUUGCUAUCUGCCUAUCUCCUAUUCCCACUUAAUACCAUGACAUUCUCGUAGUACGCCAAGGCUGAAGACACUCCUUAUGAUCCGUGACGCUAGGCAACAAAUAAAACUGAACUGUGACCUCUUUUAAACGUCGUCGUCACAUCCUUAAUUACGUCCCGCCGGACGCCAAACUCGGAUUCCAUGACAAUAAUAUCCAUUUUGGUUCCACACAUUAUACGGUCCAUCCCUCUCUCUACUCGGCGAUUCCCUCUUCUCUCUCACUUUGCUAAAAGUCGGUUGACAAAAUUUCAGUUUUUAGGUCAAUUCUCACUCGAACUUGAAGUAAAUGGUUUAUUUUUAUGGAGGGUUGGUUUUAUUAUUGUCGUGUAUAUC